GCACCAGUGGUCUAAGUGGUAGAAUAGUACCCUGCCACGGUACAGACCCGGGUUUGAUUCCCGGCUGGUGCA
rnacentral:tRNA from 1 species